CCUGGCUAAGUUUUUAAAAAAUUUUUUUGUAGAGAUGGGGUCUCAUUAUGUGGCCCAGGUUGGUCUUGAACUCCUGGCUCAAACGAUCUUCCUCUGCCUCGGCCUCCCAAAGUGCUGGGAUUUCAGGCAUGAGCCACCGGGCCCAGCCACAAAGAUUUUUUAAGAUGAACACUGCCCAGCAUUGAUCAAGAUAUGGGAGAAGCAAUACAGGUUGGGGGUCUUUCACUCAGGAAUUUCAUCAUCUUCUGCUUUUAAGAAACAGCACAAAGUGAUCCCAUGCUGGCAAAUCGUCAGGGUCAUUCCUGC
rnacentral:lncRNA from 1 species